rfam:Cavia porcellus supercont2_66 genomic scaffold, whole genome shotgun sequence.
GGGGAUUUAGCUCAGCGGCAUAAGCGCCUGCCUUGCAAGCAGGCAGUCAUGUGUUCAAUCCCUG